UAUUUCUUGCCUGUCUCUGAGUAAUUUUGAAGCACUUCACAAUUCCAGCAUUUAAAAAAAGUGUUAUACUUUGCUGUUAUUGUUAUGUUAUGGUAGGAGAUUUUGCAAUUUAAACUCUUAUUGCCAGUUAGUGUAAGAUAAUGAUUUUAAGACUUAUGACUGCAGACAUGGUUAAAUAUAGACUGGACUAGUGUAUGUAUCUGAAAUGUUGGCCUAUUUUCAGAAUUGGCAGCUUUGGAGGGGAGGCAACAUCCUUAAAUCCAUGGAGGUAUUACAGUGAGCUGUGCGGAGUAUUAGCUGUUUUUGAGGACCCAAGUGUGGUACACAGGAGUCUGAGAACGAUGGACUUCAGAUUGUUUGGAAUUGGCCUUAGAACCAUUGCAUGGCUGAUGGGACACAGCUUCUUGAACAUCACCGCUGAUGCCUUUCCCCCUUGGCACUGCAUGAAUAUGUACUGUACCUGAAUGUUCCAGACCACUGCUUUUAUAGUAGUGUUCACACUUCAGUCAAGUACAUUUAAUUAACUACUUACCCAUAAGAAUGUACUUACAUUUUGGCUUUAUUUUUAUUAAAUAAAUAAUGACACUAUUGCAUUCUAUGCAAUAUGUUAUGUUUUGUAGUUUAUCUGAGUCUGUACGUACCUAAUUUUAACACCUGCUAAGGAGUUAUCAUUUUCUGAUAUGUAAAAUUUGCAGAAUUGCACAGCACUAACCUUUGCACAGUACCAUACCACAAAGUAACAUAUUGUCAUUGUAACAUAAAAAGUGAUCCUUAGCCAUUGAUUGUGUUUUGCUUUUAAAAAAAUGCAAGAAUGACCCGAUGUGAUUCAAACAUUUGGUUAAAAUAAAAACAUUACCGUCUACUGUUUCGAAAUACAAGUCAAAUGAUUUAAAAUGUGCUAUGAUCACUCAGCAUUGUGGUAAAAUGCAUUUGCCAAUACCACUGACAUUUUACAUCACACUCAUUUUACGCCUGCAACGAACCAUGGAAUCAUCAAAUGAUGAGUGUUAAAUGAUGCAUAUGGUGUUAUUAACUGACUGUAAACAGUCACUCUAAGAAUUAAAAAUUAAGUAAACAAGGGGAAUUCUCAGCACAAACGGGAUAGCAGAACACGUUCUGCACAAGACAUAUAGAUGUAAUGUGACUGAGCACCCAGUAGUGUAUGCAGGAUGUCCCUGAACACUGUUUUGGAGGAGCAAAGUAAACAUGACUGAUGCCACGAUGAGGCAAUACAUAUUUCACGCUACCCCGCCCCCGC
rnacentral:lncRNA from 1 species